UACGGUAGGCAGCGAGCGUUGUUCGGAAUUACUGGGCGUAAAGAGUGUGUAGGCGGUGCUCUAAGUUCGGUGUGAAAUCUCCUGGCUCAACUGGGAGGGUGCGCCGGAAACUGGAGUGCUUGAGCGUGGGAGAGGAAAGCGGAAUUCCUGGUGUAGCGGUGGAAAUGCGAUAGAUAUCAAGAGGAACACCUGUGGUGUAGACGGCUUUCUGGACCAUAGCUGACGCUGAGACACGAAAGCGUGGGUAGCAAACAGG
rnacentral:rRNA from 1 species